AUGGCUGUCGUCAGCUCGUGUCGUGAGAUGUUGGGUUAAGUCCCGCAACGAGCGCAACCCCUGAUCUGUGUUGCCAGCGGUUCGGCCGGGAACUCACAGAAGACUGCCGGUGACAAACCGGAGGAAGGUGGGGAUGAGGUCAAGUCAUCGUGCCCCUUAUGUCCAGGGCUACAAGCGUGCUACAAUGGCCGGUACAAAGGGCUGCAAAACCGCGAGGUGGAGCGAAUCCCAAAAAGCCGGUCCCAGUUCGGAUUGAAGGCUGAAACUCGCCUUCAUGAAGUCGGAGUUGCUAGUAAUCGCGGAUCAGCAACGCCGCGGUGAAUACGUUCCCGGGUCUUGUACACACCGCCCGUCACACCACGAAAGCCGGAAACGCCCGAAGUCCGUGCGCCAACCCGCAAGGGAGGCAGCGGCCGAAGGUGGAGUCGGUGAUUGGGGUGAAGUCGUAACAAGGUAGCCGUAGCGGAAGCUGCGGCUGGAUCACCUCCUUUCUAGGGAAUACAGCCGGCGCUUGCGUCGAGCUGUGGGCGCCGCUCACUGUGAUGGCAUUCCGCCGUCCAGAUGACCGGCUCGCCUGGAAUAACGUCGACACUGACGUUCUCUCGCCUCGAGCGGGAGUCCAAACUGUUGAGUUUUGAGAGACCAUCGCUCGCGCGGCAUCCGCCGUGCUUCGAUAGUUCCUCUCGUGCGGGCAUGUGUCCGCGUGCACCUUGAAAACUCCAGAGCGGUUUGUGGUGUUCUCUACUUGAAAGAAAUCAAGUGAACAAGGGCACACGGUGGAUGCCUUGGCAUCUGGAGCCGAUGAAGGACGUGGACGGCUGCGAUAAGCCUCGGGGAGUUGCUGAUCAAGCGUUGAUCCGAGGAUUUCCGAAUGGGGAAACCC
rnacentral:sRNA from 1 species